GCUAAUUUAGUUUAUUUUAGAAUAUGUAACUUGUAAUUACAGGGAAAUUGUUAG
rnacentral:tRNA from 1 species